UGAAUAGUCCAUGAAAAGGGUGAGAGGUCCAUGUUGUCCAUGUCCACAGUGCAUCGCAACUAUCCACAAGUAUACGUUGCUGUUGUUCUCAGCAUUUGUCUCUGCAAUGUCUGGGAAAUAUGAGCUCCCAGGAGCGGCAUGGACCGUCGUCAUCAUCAUCAUCAAUGUUAUCCUCCUCCUCAGCUGGACACUUGAGCUGUCAAUCCAAAUCUCACUAACCAAUGAGACUGUUAAACCCCACCCACAGGUACAAUUGGUGCCAGAAUGGCGAAUGUUAACUUGCUUAAAUGAAAACUCACUGUUUUCAGUUUCAGUGUUCUUUUCUUCUCUCUCAAUGUAUAUAUUUGUUCUUUUCUUGCAAAGAUAUGUUCAAUACCUUCAGCACAAAUUUAAUUCCAUACAAUAAGAGCACAUUGAGAAUAAAUGUUCUUGGGUGAGCACAGGAAAAUCUUGAUUACAAAAGCAGUUCUCUGAUACAAAUCUACAGUAUCCAGGUGAGAUUAUCUGCUAAAGCAAAGGUGAGUUCAAAGUGCAAAUUUUUAAGGUAUCCAUGCGGGACCACCCACAGCA
ensembl:lncRNA